CCUGCGUUACUAAGCUCGACACACAGUACUUGUGAGCUAAACUUAUAUAUACAGUAAGUAAACAUUCGUUUUCACCGAUGUGGGACUUUACUGGCUAAAAACAUUUCACUUACUAUUGAUGUCCUUCGCAAAGCUCCAAACAUCUCACUGUUGUGUUUGGUCGUUCCAACCUCCAUUGAUGAAAUCCAUGGCCGCAAUUCAUCGGCAACGCCAUUGAAGAUCAGAAACUUCUCCGAACUCAAUGUUACGAUCCGUCUUCACCGUUGCGUCUGAUCGAGCUCACCAUCACCAUUGCGUUUAAUGAUCCGAGCUCACCGUAACCGUCGCAGCGAUCGAACGGCUCACCGCACCAAUUGAUAGAGCCUUACUAUCGUAUUAUUGAUGAAACGUAACCAAGAACAAUCUCAACACGGUGGUGAACCGUGAUGAGCCCAAAUCUCAAGAGUAAACACUCAAGAGCCUAACUAGUUUCCCAAA
rnacentral:lncRNA from 1 species